GAAGAACGCUAUCCCGGAGGCUUCCUACUUGGCCGUGGUAACUAAGUCUUUUCUGCGUGCCCCUGCGGGCGUAGGGCUGGGGCUGGCCCGCGUCAGUGUGUUUGAAAAGCUAGUGCUGAACAUUUUGCAAGUGCUUCAUGAAUAUUUAUUGCAUGAAUAGUUGAACGUGGCCUUGUGGAACUGGAAUGCAGAGCUCAUGAAGGAGAACAGCAGAAGAUAAUGGUGAAAGAAUCUCGCUCUUGUUGCCAGGCUGGAGUGCAGUGGCAUGAUCUCGGCUCACUGCAACCUCUGCCUCCCGGGUUCAAGCGAUUCUCCUGCCUCAG